rnacentral:lncRNA from 1 species
GAAGUUGCAUUCCUGAGUCCUCUGAGAAAGACGGAAUCUAACUUGGCUGACAAAAACCUGAAAAGGAGCGUGACAAGCCCGGGCUCUGUGUCGGACUGGCUGAGCUCCCAGCCCGCGGCUGCAGGGGCUGCGGAGAAGGGGAACGUGCAGCUGGAGAAUCCCUGUCCCCGGCAGCGCACCUGGAGCGCCCGCACCUUCCACGACCUCCUGGCUCCCAUCCCACAGCUGCAGAAGAAAUGGUGCAGCUGGAGCACCAACAGCCCCUUCACAAAGCUGGUGGACAGCAGUGGUUUUUCUACAGCUGCAAGGCCCCAAGGUGUUCCAACCAGAAAGGUAAUCUCAGCCACUGAGAUAGAGGGAGCAUCAGAGACUAUUUACUCUGAUUCAUCUGCCAGCAAUGCCUCCUAUCCCCUCACUCUGUCUGCACAGAGGCAGCGAAAGAUAACCUCCUGCAAUUUGAAGAAAUCCAGAUUUGGGAACCCUUAUUUUGGAUUUUUAGCCAGUUCCCCUGACAGCAAACAUAUGAGGUCCUUGGAUCCCUCAAGACAUCUAGGGGCAGCAUCUCCAGUUAACAACCAAAGCCCCAAAAAUCUUCUAGAGAGCUCCAACCCACUGAAAAUCAACUUGGUCAACGGUUCGAAAACAAAGGAGCUUAUGGUAGAAACAGAUAAAAACAAACCAGUUUUUGUUAUUUCUGAAGAAGGGGAUGAUCAGCAGCCUCUGGUCCUGGCAGAACACCUUAGUCAGUGUGGAGAUCACCUGCCAGAGCAAAAUGCUGCGUAUGCUCAGGCCGUGCCAGAGAAGCAGCCGGUGGUUCUGAGUGCGGAGAGGAACAGCUCUGCCCCCUUCACACCGAGCCUUCCCCUCUGGGCUAAAUCCCCCGCGUCGUACAAAGGCCAUGGGAAGGGCCCCAGCUCCUCCAGGGACCAGCAGAGCUCAGCUCUCAGUGUUGGUGGGGAUGCCAACAGUGCUGAGCCCUCCCAGAACUGCGACACCCCCGGUGCUGCCACGCUGUGCCAAGCCUCAGCCCAGUGA